rnacentral:rRNA from 1 species
AUUGAACGCUGGCGGCAGGCCUAACACAUGCAAGUCGAACGAGUGGCGGACGGGUGAGUAAUGUCUGGGAAACUGCCCGAUGGAGGGGGAUAACUACUGGAAACGGUAGCUAAUACCGCAUACCAUCAGAUGUGCCCAGUUGGGAUUAGCUUGUUGGGGGGGUAACGGCUCACCAAGUCGACGAUCGCUAGCUGGACUGAGAGGAUGACCAGUCACUGGUGAGAGGAGACGAGGUCCAGACUCCUACGUGAGGCAGCAGUGGGGCAUAUUGCACAAUGGGCGGAAGCCUGAUGCAGCCAAGCCGCGUGUAUGAAGAAGGCCUUCGGGGUGUAAAGGACUUUCAGCGGGGAGGCGGUACCCACAGAAGAAGCACCGGCUAACUCCGUGCCAGCAGCCGCGGUAAUUC